rnacentral:misc_RNA from 1 species
ACGAGUUAGGGGCCUCUGGCCCGAACCUCCAACCCUUUGUAUCAAAACCUCGUUGCCUCGGGGAGGCCCUGCCUCACGGCUGGCCCCCCGAUGGACCACUAAACUCUGCAUCUGUAUGACGUCUGAGUAAAGAUUUUAAAUUAAAUCA